rnacentral:rRNA from 1 species
GAUGAACGCUGGCGGCGUGCCUAAUACAUGCAAGUCGAGCGAAUGGAUUAAGAGCUUGCUCUUAUGAAGUUAGCGGCGGACGGGUGAGUAACACGUGGGUAACCUGCCCAUAAGACUAGGAUAACUCCGGGAAACCGGGGCUAAUACCGGAUAACAUUUUGAACCGCAUGGUUCGAAAUUGAAAGGCGGCUUCGGCUGUCACUUAUGGAUGGACCCGCGUCGCAUUAGCUAGUUGGUGAGGUAACGGCUCACCAAGGCAACGAUGCGUGGCCGACCUGCGAGGGUGAUCGGCCACACUGGGACUGAGACACGGCCCAGACUCCUACGGGAGGCAGCAUUAGGGAAUCUUCCGCAAUGGACGAAAGUCUGACGGAGCAACGCCACGUGAGUGAUGAAGGCUUUCGGGUCGUAAAACUCUGUUGUUGGGGAAGAACAAGUGCUAGUUGAAUAAGCUGGCACCUUGACGGUACCUAACCAGAAAGCCACGGCUAACUACGUGCCAGCCGCCGCCGUAA